AAGUCGUAACAAGGUCUCCGUAGGUGAACCUGCGGAGGGAUCAUUACUGAGUGAGGGCUUCUGGCCCGACCUCCCAACCCUUUGUCGUUCGACUCUGAUUGCCUCGGGGGUGACCCGGCCAUCCGGCCGGCCAGCCCCCUGCGGGUCCACUUAACUCUGCGUCUCAAGCGUCUGAGUCUGAUACCUAAAUAUCUAAUUAAAA
rnacentral:misc_RNA from 1 species